rnacentral:lncRNA from 10 species
AGCCCAGAUGUCUUCACUGGUAAAUAUUAUAAAAUAUUUAUUGAAGGAAUAAUUGCAAAUUACAGAAGCUCUUUUAGAACACAGAGGAGAAAGGGAAACUUCCCAAUUCAUUUCGUGAGGCCUCUAUUACUCUGAUACCAGACAGAGACACUGCAAGAAAAGAAAACUGCAGAUCAAUAUCCUGCAAAAAUCCUUGACAAAAUGUUAGCAAAGAAAACCCAGUACUGCAGAGAAAGGAUCGUCACAAUCCUGACCAGCAGGUACCAUCUCAGGGAUGCAAGGUUGGUUUAACAUUCAAAAGUCAGUCAAUAUAAUUCACUCUAUUAGUAGAAUAACUGAAAAAAGUCAUGGGAUCAUCUCCCUACAAAAAAUACACAUCUACAGAAAAAUAAUAUAGCAAAAUUAAACGCCCAUUCUUUAAAAAGUUCAGGAAGUUAGGAAUAGAAGGGUAUUUUCUCAGCCUGGUAAAGAGCAUAAUUUUAUACUUAAUAUUGUAAAACGAAAUCUUUCUCCCAAGGUAAGGAACAAAAGAAGGAUGCUGCUUUCACCAUUUCUAUACAGUAUUGCAUGGGAGAUCUUAGUUUAAUUAGGCAAGAACAAGAAAUAAAGGGGUACAGAUUGGAAAAGAAGAAAUAAAAAAGGACUAAUCACACAUGACAUGAUUGUCUGUAGGAAAUCCUAAGGAGACUAUACACAAACUUUUAGAAUUAAUAAGUGAGUUUAGCAAGGUUGCAGGACAUAAGGGCAACACAGAACAACUGGCUGUGUUUCUAUAUACUAGCGAUGAAAAAUUAGAAAUGAAACAAAAAGCAAUACUUACCACAGCAGGGAAUAUGAAGACUCGGAAGAUUCUUGAUCAGAAGUUUCAAUGUUGUGAAGAUGUCAAUUGUCCCUAAAUUAUGUAUAAAUACAACACAAUUACAAUCUACAUGCUAGCAGCUUUUUGGUAACUAUUAGCAAGCUGAUUACAAACUCUGUAUAAAAACACAAAGGAACAAGAAUAGCCAAAACAAGGUUGAAAAAGGAAGAACGAGUUGGAGAAUGCUACUCCCUGUCUUCAAUAUUUUAUUAUAAAGCUGCAGUCAUCAAAAUAGUGCAGUUUGCAAAAGGAAACAAAUAUAAACCAAUACAACAGAAUAGAAUCCAGAAAUAGAUUCGUGUGUAUAUGAUCAAUUGAUUUUCAGCAAAGGUGCCUCCUCUUCUCUGGCCCCUCUCCCCCUCUCCCAUCAAGUGGCAGCUGGAAUAUGGGAGAGCAAGAUCCAUAUGGAUGGGUGAAACAACCCUGGCCUACGGUUCCAUCUCUAGUUCAGCUCCAGAGGGGUCGGUGCAGCACGCAUCAAGGAACAUGCCCAGGAGCAGGUCACUGCACCCGGGCAACCGAAAUCAAGGGUGCCCCCAGCAGAUAUUUCUAGUGCCUGCAAAGACCUGCAAAUUUAGGUGCAAUGCGCCCAUCAGGGGUCACGUCCUGGGUAACAUUCUGCCUUGAUUAGAUUUUCAGGGAAACAUAGCUAGAAAGUUAAACCAGUAUUAACUUGUCCAUAUUGAUGAGAGAAGGUUACGUUAAUCUUUUACUCAUCUCCCAGAAUCCGCUAAAAAGAACACAACGGAUAACACCAGCUCUUGGAGGGGAUAAGAACCGGGCGAAGCGUCCCCAUGCUGCUGGUGGGAGCAUAAAUUGUACAGUCUCUUUGGAGAAGUGGCCUCUCUGAUAAAGUGGAGCAUGCAUGCAUCUGACAAGAAGUCCUCUCUUGGGAAUGCGCCCCACCACACAUGUUCUAAAAACACCUGUCCAGGAACCUUCACAGCAGCACCGUUCAUCACAGUCUGAACCAGAAAUAGCCCAGUGUCCCUCAGCAGUCAAAUGGAGACGGUGGUUGUUUAACACAACGUGGUGACCUUCGGCAAUGAGGAGGAAGGUGUGACAGCAGGGCUGAGCCUCACAAAUGUCACGGUUGCGUGGGAGGAGACAGAUGCCUAAGUGCACACAGUCGAUGAUCCCAUGCACACAAAACCCUUACUGUUUAGUGGUCAGAAACAUUCAAAGUGUGAUGUGGGGCAUGUUUGAUUGCAGGGUGUGGGUAUAACUCAGCUCUGCUGUGUGCCCUCCUCAGUGGGGCAUGCAUGUCAACAAGAGAGGCUUCGGGAGAGUUCCAGGAACACCACCCCAGAGGGUCUCUACCGCAGGACCAGUCCUGUCACGCCCCCCUUGUCCCCUGCACCACUUCUCAGAUGACACCGGCAAAGCGUGACAAAGCGUGACAGACAGCGCUGCUCUCCCCGACUGUCUUUCUCCUCCGGUGAGAGCCCACUCUGGUGGCCCCGGCGCAGGAGGCGUGCACACCAUGCACACCGUGCUGGCCGUGUUGAGGUCUGGCUGUCAGAGGCCGUGAACCCCGGGAAGGAUGACGCGCUCAAGGCAUGAGGAGCGGGCGGGGACCCACCGUGCCCCUGCGGGCCUGCUGCAGGCGGGCGGCCUCGUGCCGGGAGCAAUGCCCUGGCAAGCAUGCGAGUAAGGACUCAGCCAUGGGGCCCAGGCACUGCACCUUUUUGCAACUUACUCUUGGCUCUGUGAGCCAUAUCCAGGGGAUUUCAUGGGCUUCUCUCCCCACACUGUGACUGGAAACCAACACAGCUCCUUUUCCUGUUCCUCUAGGCAAGACAAAGCCCAGCUCACUGUGAGCGUGAGGGUGACCCAGCGGCCAGGCGGCCUCCUUCCCACGGCAGUGGCUCCUCACCCAUGGGCCCCAUGACACCCCCUCUGCCCACAGGCCCAGCAGCCCCCACCUGGACGCAGGGGCUCUGCCUCCUCGGAGGCGGCUCAGACCAGGCCUCCGACUUCAGGGCCUCCAACCAUUAAGGACCGGGGAGUCAGCACUUCUGGGAGCCAUUUGUGGAGCAGCUGUGGGGGUGCCGCAGGCUUUGUAGCCUCAGCCGUAGGGAGUGGCGCCUGUGGCUCAGGCCUUUUCCGGAGACCCCCACUGAGUUUCCGCCCGGCUCAGAGCUCGAGGCCUGACUCCAGGACUCGCCGGGUUUGUGACUUCGGGAACAUUCCUCAGCCUCUCUGUGACUCUGUUUCCUCAUCUGUGAAAAGGGGAACGAAAGACUCUCUCAU